AUUGAACGCUGGCGGCAGGCUUAACACAUGCAAGUCGAGCGAGCGGCGGACGGGUGAGUAAUGUCUGGGAAACUGCCUGAUGGAGGGGGAUAACUACUGGAAACGGUAGCUAAUACCGCAUCCCAUCAGAUGUGCCCAGAUGGGAUUAGCUAGUAGGUGGGGUAAUGGCUCACCUAGGCGACGAUCCCUAGCUGGUCUGAUAGGAUGACCAGCCACACGGGAACUGAGACACGGGCCAGACUCCGACGUGAGGCAGCAGUGGGGAAUAUUGGACAAUGUGCGCAAGCCUGAUGCAGCCAUGCCGCGUGUGUGAAGAAGGCCUUCGGGUUGUAAAGCACGUUCAGCGAGGAGGCGUUACUCGCAGAAGAAGCACCGGCUAACUCCGUGCCAGCCGCCGCGGUAAUUC
rnacentral:rRNA from 1 species